UACAGAGGUCUCAAGCGUUGUUCGGAAUCACUGGGCUUAAAGGGCGCGUAGGCGGGCAAGCAAGUCCGGGGUGAAAUCUUUCGGCUCAACCGGAAAAGUGCCUUGGAUACUGCUUGUCUCGAGGGAGGUAGGGGUUGCUGGAACUUCCGGUGGAGCGGUGAAAUGCGUUGAUAUCGGAAGGAACGCCGGUGGCGAAAGCGAGCAACUGGAUCUCUUCUGACGCUGAGGCGCGAAAGCUAGGGGAGCAAACGGG
rnacentral:rRNA from 1 species